AGAUUGAACGCUGGCGGCAUGCCUUACACAUGCAAGUCGAACGGCAGCACGGGAGCAAUCCUGGUGGCGAGUGGCGAACGGGUGAGUAAUAUAUCGGAACGUGCCCAGUCGUGGGGAUAACGCAGCGAAAGCUGUGCUAAUACCGCAUACGAUCUAGUGGACGAAAGCGGGGAUCGCAAGACCUCGCGCGAGUUGGAGCGGCCGUAUAUCAGUAUUAGCUAGUUGGUAGGGUAAACGCCUACGAAGGCGACGAUC
rnacentral:rRNA from 1 species